UGCAUAGGAAUCUAUUUAGUAGUAUAGGAUAGCCACUAGAAGUGGUGGGUAAUACUGUAUAAUCCCUGCGGGGGAAAGAUUUAUCGCUACAUGAUGAGCCUAUGUUAGAUUAGCUAGUUGGUGGGGUAAUGGCCUACCAAGGCAGUGAUCUAUAGCUGGUCUGAGAGGAUGAUCAGCCACACUGGAACUGAGACACGGUCCAGACUCCUACGGGAGGCAGCAGUGGGGAAUAUUGGACAAUGGGCGCAAGCCUGAUCCAGCUAUGCCGCGUGAGUGAGGAAGGCCUUAGGGUUGUAAAACUCUUUCAGUGGGGAAGAUAAUGACGGUACCCACAGAAGAAGUCCCGGCAAACUCCGUGCCAGCAGCCGCGGUAAUACGGAGGGGGCAAGCGUUGUUCGGAAUUAUUGGGCGUAAAGGGCAUGUAGGUGGUUUGGUUAGUUAAAGGUGAAAUGCCAGGGCUUAACCCUGGAGCUGCUUUUAAUACUGCCAGACUGGAGUCCGGGAGGGGAUAGCGGAAUUCCUAG
rnacentral:rRNA from 1 species